rnacentral:rRNA from 1 species
GACGAACGCUGGCGGUGUGCUUAACACAUGCAAGUCGAACGGUAAGGCCCUUUCGGGGGUACACGAGUGGCGAGCGGGUGAGUAACACGUGAGUAACCUGCCCUCAUCUCUGGGAUAACAGUCGGAAACGGUUGCUAAUACUGGAUAUGAGCUUGCAAGUCAUCUUGUGGGUUGGAAAGAUUUUUUUUGGUUGGGGAUGGACUCGCGGCCUAUCAGCUUGUUGGUGAGGUAGUGGCUCACCAAGGCUUCGACGGGUAGCCGGCCUGAGAGGGCGACCGGCCACAUUGGGAAUGAGAUACGGACCAAACUCCUACGGGAGGCAGCAGUGGGGAAUAUUGCACAAUGGACGGAAGUCUGAUGCAGCAACGCCGCGUGCGGGAUGAAGGCCUUCGGGUUGUAAACCGCUUUCAAUUGUGACGAAGCUUUUUUGUGACGGUAGCAGUAGAAGAAGCACCGGCUAACUACGUG